AUUUAACGCUGGCGGCAUGCCUUACACAUGCAAGUCGAACGGCAGCACGGGUGCUUGCACCUGGUGGCGAGUGGCGAACGGGUGAGUAAUACAUCGGAACGUACCUUAUCGUGGGGGAUAACGCAGCGAAAGCUGUGCUAAUACCGCAUACGCCCGUAGGGGGAAAGCGGGGGAUCGAAAGACCUCGCGCGAUUAGAGCGGCCGAUGCCUGAUUAGCUCGUUGGUGGGGUAAAAGCCCACCAAGGCGACGAUCAGUAGCUGGUCUGGGAGGACGAUCAGCCACACUGGGACUGAGACACGGCCCAGACUCCUACGGGAGGCAGCAGUGGAGAAUUUUGGACAAUGGGGGCAACCCUGAUCCAGCAAUGCCGCGUGAGUGAAGAAGGCCUUCGGGUUGUAAAGCUCUUUUGUCAGGGAAGAAACACCGGCUCUAACACAGUCCGGGAAUGACGGUACCUGAAGAAUAAGCACCGGCUAACUACGUGCCAGCAGCCGCCGCCG
rnacentral:rRNA from 1 species